rfam:Pseudomassariella vexata strain CBS 129021 BCR38scaffold_9, whole genome shotgun sequence.
GGGGAUAUAGCUCAGUGGUAGAGCGCUCGCUUUGCAUAACCACAGUCGCUUGCGAGAAGUCCAGGUUUCGAUCACCUGUAUCUCCA